CAUUUCUUCAAAUAUUCUUACAGCUCAUCAUGUGAAUCUUCUUCAUCUUCAGCUGACCCGCCACCGGGAGCGCCACCGGAUCUUUGAUAUACGGCAGUGAUGAUUGGGUUGCAAACGGCUUCGACCUCCUUGAGUUUCUCUUCAUAAUCCUCUUUCUCAGCAGUCUGGUUGUCAUCAAGCCAUUCGAGGGCUUCCUUCACAGCUGUUUCAAUUUUCUCCUUUUCAUCAGACUCGAGCUUGUCUGCAAGCUUGUCUUUGUCGUUAAUCUGGUUUUUCAUGUUAUAGACAUAGGUUUCAAGACUGUUACGAGCGUCAAUCCUCUCCUUCACCUUCUUAUCCUCCUCGGCAAACUCUUCAGCCUCACGGACCAUGCGCUCAAUUUCCUCUUGGCUCAGACGACCUUUGUCAUUUGUAA
rnacentral:lncRNA from 1 species